rnacentral:lncRNA from 1 species
AGUGCAUAGUUGGGGGCAGUGGAUUUAUUCAUUUACUGAGACGAAAUGAAGCGUUGAGAAAUGUUCAUAAACAACAUGUACAGUUUCGGGAUAUAUCCAAAUUGUAUGUUUGUACAAAGGUCACAGCCUGCUGAUGAAGAUCCUCAGCUUAUACAGAGGUCAGGCUUGAGCUAUGUGCUGAUUCAAAAGAUGCUAAUGACAGUGGAUAAUCCAUUCUGAGUUGUUCUAGGACCAUUCACCAACGUUUCAAAACACUGAUGGAACUGAAGGCAGUACGUGUACUGGUGUCUGGCCUGUGAUUUCAAGUAUAAUUGAUGUACCUCCUCCUGAUGUAUCUCCUUGAAUACAAUAUAUCUGCCAUGUGAAAGGAACAAGCUGCAAGAUAUACUGUGGAAGUGGGGGCCUAUGUAAAAAACAUUUUAUUUAAAGAAUAUAAGAAAUCUGACACUAAACUACUGAAAAGGUGCACAGGGGACAUUUUUGUGUGUAUAGACUUUCAUCAAGAUUCUGAGAAAGUUGAUUUAUUAAACAAAAAUAGUCAUAUUGUGUCUUCAAAGCUGAAAAGAUUAAGAACUUAGGAAAACAUUAGGACUCAAGAAAAGUAAUGGGGUUAUGAAACUAGUGUUCAACAUUUAAAUUGUUUUUGUUUUUUUUCACUACAUUUUGUGAAGAGGGUUCCAUCACAAGAUGUGACAUAUUGGUAAGAAUGAGAUGUAGUUUAUGAAAAAAAGUAUUUUGCUUUAAAUGUGCAGACUUUAAGUUACACAAAAAAUCAAAGCUGUAACAAUAAAGCUUGAUUAAAAAAACACACUUUUGAAAACUAGCCUUCAUGUAAAUGUCACCCUUUUUUGGGUGCACAGGGGACACAAUUAGCUAUAUAAUUUAAUAUAACUUUAACCCUUAGGCCCUUGCUAAAUUUCUAUAAUGAACUUGUCCGUUUUACAAUUUGGACAGUAUUAUUAAGUGUUAAAAGGGGUGCUAACCAAAAAGAUACUGACUGAAUGGCGAACAGUGCAGAUCAAGAUCAGACUGCACAGAUGCGCAGGCUGAUCAUGAUCUACACUUGUAACAAAGGUAGGACCAACCAUGUACAGCAUGAUAAGGGUUAAAACUGCUUGAGCCAUUCAGCUGAAAUUGCAAACAUUUGUUGACUACAUUGAAUGGAUAUAUGUAAUUUGCCCCAAAACACUUUAUAAAACUGAACUGAAUUAAAAUAAAGUGAGUGAGAAGAAAAAGCUUAAUUAUUUU